UCAGUUCGGACUGGGGUCUGCAACCGACCCCACGAAGCUGGAUUCGCUAGUAAUCGCGCAUCAGCCAUGGCGCGGUGAAUACGUUCCCGGGCCUUGUACACACCGCCCGCCAAGCCAUGAAAGCCGGGGGCGCCUGAAGUCCGUGACCGCGAGGGUCGGCCUAGGGUGAAACCGGUGAUUGGGGCUAAGUCGUAACAAGGUACC
rnacentral:rRNA from 1 species